UGUGCCAGCCGCUCAGCUUCCCUCCAUCCUGUUGCUAAAUCCUCAUUUGGCAAUCGAGACUGACAACAUGACUUCUCCAUAGAAACCCUCUGUGGUUUUGUUCUCCGUGUAGAAAUUGUGUGCCCUUUCCGUUGCCAUAACAGAUUUCUCCAGAUACUUGGGGCAUGGGCCCCAGUCCUCCGAGCGCCACACCUGCACCUUCUCCACGCCCACUCUGGGAACACCAGAGCCAAAAGCAAAAGAGCCUGCCGGGGCUCCAGCUUCCCCCCAUACAACUUCGGAUGAAGCUGGGCAAGGGGGGACUACCCUCGGAGGCAGGCAGUGUGGGGAGCAGGUCGGCCAGGGUUCAAUGCUUAGUCCUGGCCUGAUUUGUGGCCGUAAGGGGUCAAAUGGCCUCAGAUUGGUGUGCCUCAGCUUGCUCCGAAGCCAAGUGGGACCAGCCAUACCCGGCUCCAAGUGGGUACGUGAGGUGAGCUACAUGGCCGGCGGCAGUGAGAAGCAGCAGAGUGUCUUAACUGCUUCCUUUUGCUCUGCUCUGCUUGUAUUUUUCUCUCUCACCUCACACCUAGGAUCUCCAUGCUUGCCCUCAUCAGAGAAGGUUCCUGAAUUUCUGAGGAGUCACUCACUCCAGGGAUCCCCCCUGGCAGUUCCCCACCAACCCCUGGAAAUUCCCCCUCCUGCUUUUCCUGCUGAGAAUCUCCAGAGUCAUUUCUUGCAAGUUCCACAGCUCCGUGGCUUGGAGGCACAUGCCUGUAAUAGCAGCACGCAAGAGGCUAAGGCAGGAGGAUCACUGCAAACUCAAGACCAGCCUGUGCUACGAAGUGAGUUCAAGGCCAGCCUGAACUGCAUAAGAAGACUCUGUCUCAAAAAGACAAAAAGAAGAAAGAAAAGAAAAGAAAGCUAAAUGUUUUGAAUGGAUUCAGGACUUCAGGCAGUCACAAGAACAAAACUAAAGACAUGAAAGAGAACUUGGAGAGCUGCUGCAGAAAGCGACACUGUAUUUGAAUUGUGAGGGAGUGUGUUGAGGGGUUAAUGCAUCUUACACUACAGCAAAUUUUUAAAAUUGAAAUAAUCAUCGUGUUUUUGAUCAUACCUUGUAUUGUAAUCCCAAAUAUUGAGUUCUGUCAUCCAAGUACUGGAAUCUUCUUUCUAGUUUUCCUGACACUCCAAAAGGUUAUCUUGAGAUCCCAUUGAGACGUCACUGGAAUCCCAGCAAGUUAAUUCCAAGCUACCACCACCGAAGCAACCCACGGUGAGAGUAAAAACACCAAGACAUAUUCCAAGUUAAGGGCAGCCAAGGGGACCAAGUCCAAUCCGUGAGAGGACAUGCGGACAAAGGCCCUGAUCCUAGGCCUCUCCCAGAAUUUCUUAUCUUAUGAAGAAGGGGGGUGGCUCAGGGAUGAGAGACGGUGAGUAACUUGAGCUGGCUGGCCAGGUGCAAGAACAGCAUCUCUGUAAAUUGCAGAGACAAAGAUAUGCAGAAGGAUCAGUUCACAUAAUCUAAUUAAGACAGCAACUGAAUUGUUUUGGGAGGCUGUCACUUCGGUUUCUGACAUGCAAACUCUUGUGCCCUGGGGAGUCAUAGCCUCUUUAUCUUGAGGCUCUACCCAGUUGACAUUCCCGGAGCUAUUGGCUCUAACUCUCUCGGUGCUCAUAUCCUAUACGGACAACACUAUGCAAGGAAACAGGACUGUCUGUUGGCUUUAGAGAUUACGUACCAGCACCUUGGAUAGCUUAUUUGCAAUGCUUAGAGCCAAUUGAAGAGAGAAGGAAGUACCAUAGCCAGCUCUGUACAUAUCAGUAUAAGGAAAUGAGUCUCCAGACAAUCAAAGUCACAGUAAUUGUUUUGCAUUCAAGCGCAGACACUGGAGUUGUCUCCCACACCUUGUAUGAUCUGAAUAAAAAUGAAAACUAGAUAGUCUUUAUUUAAAACUAGAAUUACAAGUCAAUUUCACUUAUGAUUAUAGGUAUGAAAAUACUACAGAAAAUAUUACUAAUUAUAAUCCAGGAGUAUCCUAAAAUAACAAUCUCUCAUGACCAAUUUAGUUUAUACUGGGAAUGCAAUGAUAGUGAUACCUUUAGAAUAUAAUAUGAGUAUUAUUCAUCUCAUUAAUACAUUAAAGAGAAAGACUGCAUGGACCUCUCAAAAGGUUUUUAAAAAUUCAAUAGAAUUAAAACUCAUUUCUAAGAAAACUUACAUUACACUAUCAUAAAGUACAUAAUAUAGGAAGAAAUGUUAUAACAAUAAUAAUUGAUACUUAUCAGAGCCUCCUGAAUAUAGUUUACCAGUAAAACUGUAUUUAAUAGUAAAAAUGUCUAUUACGACUACUAUUUAGUAUAGUUUUGAAACAAUACAGAAAAAAUAAAAGUGGACAAAAUUAUAGUUUAUAUAUUAUCUACAUUUAAAAAACAAAAAAAAAUCAGUGGAUAACAACAGAAUUAGCACAAUAGUGAAGAAAGGUGUGAGCACACAAAAGAAAAUGACAAAAAUCAAUACUGUUUCUUUCAAUGUGCAACUAGAAAUGUACCACUUUAAAGUGUCACCAUUGGGAAACAUACAUACACAAAACACAUAGCAAUAAGCCUAACUAAACGUGCACAUUUCAUGGAGAUAUUUAUAAGACAUUAUGAGACGUAAAAGAGAAAAACAAGACUAAAAGCAUACUAAGUGGUAGAGCCCUGGCCUGGUAUGUGUGACACCAAGCUUGGAAACCUUGGGUCCAAUCCCCGGUGCUUCAGGAUAGGGAAGGAGAGAGGGGAGAGGGAGGAAUUUACUCUUCAUGUAUAGAAAGCUCUGCAUUGCCGCCAUCUACUCAGUCUCCCCUAAAAUAGACCUGGGCACUUAGUGCAAUUUUAAUAAAAAACAAUUGACUUCUUUGAUUCAUCUUGGAAAACUGGUUAUAAAACUCACAUGGGGCAAUAAAGGAGUUUGGAAAGUUAAAUCGAUUUAAACACAAUCAUCAAAGAAAACCUCACCCCACCAGACACGAAGUCCCUUUACAGAGCAGGAGUCAUGAGUCGAGUGACACCAAGGAGCAAAUGACAAACACGUGGAAGAUGAGCGAGCUCAGGGACAGGCUCGGACAUUUAUCAGAAUGUCACACGUGAUAAGGAAAUCAUUGUGAUUCCUGGGGAAAAAGGAUUGCGAGAGAAAGGAGACAAAUUCCAGAUGAAAGCCCUUAAGGGUCGGGAAGAAGAGCAGGUCCUGGAAGGAAAGACUGGAACGAGCUAGUUUUCCUGGUUUUUGUUUUUCUUUGUUGUUGUUUGUUUUGUUUUGUUUUGUUUUAUGAAAGGAGUACAAAAUAGCCCACAGGAAGGGGCCCGCUGCAAGGCAGGGGUGAGUUUACGGGAGGGACGGGUCAUGUCUGGGCUGUUUCUGGAGAACAUGGGCGAGGGUGAGCUCCAAAGCAGGGCAGAGGAGAGAUGAGCAGAGACAGAGGAGUGCAGCAAAGAGAGGCUCUGGAUGGCGACACGUUCUGCGCUUUAAUUCACCACCAUUCCACCUGAAUUUUCCUUACCUAUUGUGACUUUCCGCAUUUUCGGACUGAUCGGUGGAAAGCAAGGACUCCAUGAGCAGGUGGGGAGGCAGGAACCAACGAUGCCGUUUGCCAGGGAAAAGAGAAAAGCAGGAGCUGUCUCCAUCCCUUAGUGAACUUGCCAUCUGCUGCCACUCCAGGACAAGGACAGUGGUGGGAGGACCGUGACUCCAGCACAGCAGGAGGCCAUCUCCCAGAGAAACCAUUGCGCUGACCAUCACACCUCACAAGCUAACAGCAUGUUGGCAACCCGCUGUCACGCUGGUGACUGGCAGAUGUGUCCGGUGAGUGGUGAGGAACCUUUACAGGUUUACUCUAAUGGAGAUCUAGAACGGUACCUGGCUCCCUGGUCCUUCAUGUACAGUUCACUGCAUGCACUAAACCCAAAUCACAGAGUGCUGACUGGGGUCCGUGCAGGUAGCCAGCCUUCACGCCCAAGGGAAGAAUCAGCUACAGAGGACAAGGGUUUCUGGACCAAAUGGAAAGGGAACCCUGUGGGGGCAGUUGAAGGGGAGCUAUGUCACACAGGACGGGCACAAAGAGCAAAGCCAGGCAAAGAGCAGAAGCAAACUCAAGGCUAGCACUCAUCCUGAGGGUCAGAAGUUGGAAGGAUCAUUUCUGUUUUCUUAUCUGAAAGGAGAGUUAAGUGGACAACAGGAAGAGGAAGACAGGAAUCUGGCAGAAAGCGAGGAGAUUGCUCCGGGCUUUGGCUUGGCCAAGGAAGCAUGGGCCCGGGCGCACUUCCAUCCAUCUGGUUGGCUGGGCUGGCCUGGUUGGGCUGAAGAGAGUCUCAGCUUGGAGGGUCACAUGUGGUGCCAGAAGAAUUGUACUACAGAUCAAAACUUGGGAUUUGAGGAGCAAAAUAAAGAGGAGACAGUGGCUGUCUGGGGUCCAGGAGCAACAACUAUAAAACCCGAGCAUCUGUUAAGACUCAGAGUUAAUCUGGCAGCAUCAGCUGUGGUCCCAGGGAGGAAGGGGCGGGGAAAGGGGCUAAGCGCUGCUGGAAUCCUCGGUCGGCACCCCUAAACCAAGACUCACGGGUAUGUGAGGGACAUAAUUGCUAUCCACAAGGCUGGGUAUUUUCUGCUGUGUUCAUGCAUUUCAGAUGCUGUAUUUGGGAUCUAAUGAUUGCUUAAAAUUUCAAGAAAAUGCUCCCAGUCUUUGGAGGUAGAUGGCUUCAACCCUACAAAGGAGGCACUGGUGUUCUCACUGGGAUUUUCUUUUCUUUAAAAAUAAUGAUGCAAGGCCAGGAGAAAGGAUCUCUGGUGAAGCCAUUGUGCAAGGCUGUGGGUUCAGUUCUCAGCACCACCAAAAAAAUUCUCCUAUAAGUAACCAACACAUAAUAUUUGCACUUACUAUGGGGUGCAAUAUGAUUGUUCAACACAUACGUGCAAUGUGUAAUGAUCAAAUCGAAGCCAGCCACAGUCCCACCUCCUUGAACAGUUAUCACUUCUGUGUUGGGAAACUCUGGACUCAUCUAGUCAUUUUGAAAUACUGCUAUCUUUGUUAUAAUCACUGCUGGCCGAUAUUAAAAACCUCCAGGUAAGCGACUGCAUACCCAGAAGGAGAAUGGCCAAGUGUGGGUGGUAGGUGGCGUGUGUGUUGGUGUGUGUGAGGUGUGCGUCUGGUGGUGCACACCUGUUCAGAGCGUGCCUGGAACAAGCAAGGGCCCUGUGCAGACUGGGAUCUAAUAGCAAGGGUCCAGCCCUCUCUGCUUGCAGGCACCCGCCCCAGGGCACGUGGGAUGUAAACACGGUUGAGCCAUUCAGCUGAAACUGGCCAGCAGGCCUCUGACAGGGCUCCAGGUGCCCUGGGUCGCUGUGGACGGAGAUCAGACGCGGAUCCUUCCCUAUGACACACAAUCCCGUAGGCUCGUUUUCAGCCAGACAAUCAGCCACUGUCUCCACCUGCUAGCUGCUCACUUGCCUGCCCAGGAUGAUGCCAGACACAGAGCGGGAAUCUUGGGUACUUUUCCCGGUGUCGCUGUCUGCUGAGUUCAAUGAGGGAGGGUGGCCCAGGCCUGGAGAGAUGUCCUUGUGUGACUGGCACUGCUGCCCAAGGCUGCUUUCCACCACACAUCAAAGGCAGCCAAGUCCCAGCCUCUUCGCUGAGUCAUAGGCACAAGCUAAACAGUCUCAGGUGUCCUUGAAAGUCUCUUUCCUGGGUUUGUUUUUGUAUUUAUCCCCAUAAAUAGGUUUCAGUAUUUCCCAGGACGCCCAGCUAGGAGCGAGCAGCAAUACCAUGGAUUUUAACAACCAACUGGAAAACAAAACAAAAUAAAGGGGAAAAACUAGUCUUUGAAGUCACUGCCACAUGCAUAACUAUCAAUGAACAGAAAGCCAAGCCCUGGGAAGGAGGUUUGAGGGAAUCAAAAGCCACGGUGCCUUCUGCUUUUAGAACUUCACACAGUCAUGGUGAGGGCCAAUGGCCACUUGCUUGAGGUUGUCAGCAGAAAAUCGAAAGGUUUCCAGUGAUCUAGGAUAUUCUGCGGGUCCUCGCUUGCAUCUGGAAACAGAUCACAAGGUCCCAAGGCAGGAUGGUGGCAUGGAAUUAAUUUUGACUUCAGGGUUAGAGGAAGCCAUUCACUCCCAGAUAUACUCAGGCUGGGCCCGCAGACCUCGUGAGGAGGUGUGUUCAGGCAGUACAAUGGCCCUAGCCCCAGUCCUGGGGACAUUCUCCUGGGGAGUGCCGGCUGAGUGUAGCCCUCCCUCCACAGUGGAAAUGGAAGCUCUCUGCCACCCCCAGCAAGCACUGAAGGAGGACAGCACUGACCUUUCACGACCUUGACUCCUUUCUCCUGCUUUUCCGGCCACACAGAAGGUCCAUUGAUUUCACCAAGAGAUUCCCAUCCUGCAGUUUAAUUAUGCCACUUAGGGCCAUUUCUUCCCAAUUCUUCCUAACGCAAAGCUAAAGAAUCUGUACCGUGGUUUUCCUCAGGCUAAUUACAUGUGUCCAAGAAUCUGGCAGCUUCCUGUUGCCCUAAUGACGCACCCAGGGGACAUGUUUGUCCACCAGUUGCCAAAGGCACCCAGAGGUCACCAGAAUCCUCCAGAGCCCAGAGGACUGCUUCCGCCACUUUGGAUGUAUAUUAAGAACAUCAAUUCCGGCUGCAGCUAUUUGGAGAUAGUGCUUUAUGAAUAAAGACACUGUGAUUAUUUAUAGGGACGGUAAACCAACCUGCAAGGUAUAGUCCACAUCCUGAGGCCCUGGAUGAAUGUGGGAUAUCAAGCUGGAAGGCUUUAUUUCCUGUCAAGUAUUUAAACUCAAGUCCAACCAACUAGGAACACUACAAAUAAACACACAGGGACCUGUUAAAAACAUAACUCUGAGCUAAAGUGAGUUUAUCCUUCCCCCAGUCAGGUAUCAAAUGUUGGCUUCAGGAUCCAGGGGGGACCUGGUAAACAGUCACUGGGGAGUCUUCUUGCCAUUUAAUUGGAGUGGUUCCUGAAGCAGAUGUCCAAAGUGUGGGGAGAUGUGGAUGACAGCUCCGGGCCUCCAGCCACUAAGGCUGAAAAAAGAGAAAAAGCCCAGUUAACAAGACAGCGUCACACCAGAACCAAUCCGUGAGACUCCAACCCCCUACCCACGGAGCACCUUCCUUAGGCAACUACCUCUGACACAGAAGAAGAACCUUAAAGUACGAAGCCUGCUAUUUCCAAGCCAUGUUCCAGCAAUGCUUAGAAACAGUCUUCUGAAGAAGGUUUGAUCUGUUUCCUAAAUUGCACUUUCUAGAGUCUAAGGUAGAACCCAGGGGUUUCUCUACCCACCCGCACUAUGCCUAAGACCUUCCACCUGUUCAUUGCCCUGGGGGACUCUAACACAGACACACACUCACACACACACACACACACACACACACAUGCACACACGCACACAUGCACACACAAUGCUUGCUUCAAAAUAGGUGCCACUGGAGGAGGCUGCAGGUAAAAGCAGAGCUUUUGCAGCUGGAGAUUUAUAGUGUUUAUUCCUCCCAGGGAGCUUGUGUCUUUCAGAAGUAAAUAUACAUGGAGACGUACUCAGAAGGAGGGACUGAGAAAGAGAAAGAGACAGAGACCAAGAGACAGAGACAGAGAGAUGGGGGGGUGAAGAAAGAAAAAACUGAGUACUUUUGACUGUGGCUUUGAGGCCUGAGGGGAUUAAGUCUUACCCUUGAUUUUUAGGGACUGCAUAAUCCCAAAUGAGGACCUACCCUAGCUGAAAUAACAAAGGAGAUAUUUAGAAAGACAAAAAAUAACAGUUAAUCAAAAUGUACUCACAUCAGUCUACAGUGUAAUGUGGUUUCCAGAGGCCCUUUUAAAAAUGAAGAAAUUGAGAGUACAAUUAACAAUGGUUUCUUGUAGUCAGGGAUUGCAAGGAGAAUAAUUACACACAGGACACAGAAUUUAUAAUAUUAUUUUAUGAUGGUCACCCAGAGGUAAAUACAAGAAAAUGCAGGAAAUCUGUCCACAAUACUAAAGACCUAGAAAAUCAGCCAAGGACCUGGAUCCCACAGCAAUGUCCUGCAUGAGUUCAGCUGAAGACCCAGAGCCCGUGACGGUGCCUCCCACAAGUCUAACUGGCAGCCUAGAGCCUAGGACUCACGCAAGGCUAUUUUAUGCAUCUGUGCUGGGAAGGCCCAAAGGUCAGCAGUGACAGCUAGAAAGUCUAUGCCAGUGGGGUGAAGGAUCUGUGCCAGUAGGCUGAGGGUUCUAUAUUACAGCCAAGAAGCAACCCUCAAAAUAAGGACCAGAGCUCCCCUGAAAAGUACCACAGCCAUCCUCAGCAACAGGGAGAUCUCAAGCUCCUCCAAAAAUGAGAACAAUUGACUACAUGUCAGAAAGCCAGUGUGACAAGCUUCUCCUGGAGAUUAAACAGCACACAUCUUCCCCUCUGGAGCCAGGGAGCAACGUUCAACAGAAGGACCAGAGCUGCCCCAAAGUGAACUAUGGUCACUUCAGUAACAAGGUCUCAAGCUCCUCUGAGGAUAAUGGCUGAGGUCAUAUCAGGGGAAACCAUGACAAGCUCCUCCAGGAGAACCAACAGCUACAAACAACACCACUUAGAAGAACCCACAAUGCCCCACUCUUCCUCGCCAAUCUCCUUUUAUGCUGGCAACCUUCCUCGGGUGGGUCAUCUAUACUCAGCACCAUGCCAAUUUAAUUCUGCUGGUGUUAAGUUGACCAUCAGUUUUUAAUCUAUAACAUAGAUUAAACAUUUUUUCUUUAAGGAGGCAUAAUCCCUUAAGCUUUCUUUUUAGUUGGAUAUCACUUUAACUCUGUUUAAAUUACUUUUUAAGUAUGGGUUUAAAGAAAAUAUAACAAUCCUAAGAGCAAUGUUCCCAACGGUAGGGCCUCAAAAUGCAUAAAUACAGACAGAUCUGGAAAGACAAACAAAUGUACAGUUCAAGUUGCACAUUCCAACACUUUUCUCUCAGGAAUCAAGAAAGAGAAAAUCAGCAGUACAUAGGAGAUAUGCAGAGCAGCAUCAACCAACCCGAGCUAACUGACGUACACGGGGCUCCACUCAGUGAGAGGAGACUGCGCAUUCUUUUUGAGUAUACACUGAACAUUCACAAAACAGGGACACACCCUAGUUUUUAAAAUUUCUUUAAAUUUUUUUAAAAAAUUUAAAUUUGUCAAGUACUGAUCUGUGAUCAUAAAGGAAUUGAACUAGAAAUCACUAUCAGAAUGAAGUCUAAAAAAAAUCUACUGGCCAAAAAGGCAGUUCCAAGAGAAAUUAGAAAACACUUUGCAGUGAAUAGGAAUAGAAAAUGAAAUGUACAAAUUUUAAGGGUGUUAAAGCAAAGCUAAUAGGAAAGUUUAAAGUACUAAGUACACAUAAAAAUAACUUCUCAAACCAGAAAUGUAACCUUUCACUGCAACUAGCUAGAGAAAAGAACAAAAUAAACCCCAAACUAGGAAAAGAGCACAAGCAAUAAAGACAAGGCAGGAAUCAAAGAAAUAUGAAAUGAAAAACAAUCAAUUCAGUGAAACCAAGUGUGGUUCUUUAAUAAAACCAAUAAAACGAUAAACCUAUAGCCAGAUUGAUAGUAAAAGAUGGAGAAGUCCAGGUGUGGGGGCCAGGUAUGUGGGAGGCAGACGCAGGAGGAUUACCAUCGUCUGAGGCCAGCUUGGGCUACAUAGUGAGUUCAAGGCCAGCUGAACCCUGUCUCAAAAAAUACAUAAAUAAAAAAUAAAAGAAGGAAGAAACGUAUUGCCAACACCAGUAAGAGGGAGAGGAGGCUUUACAGAUGUCAGAAGGAGGUGGAGCUGUGACCUGGUGGUGUCGCCUAGUAUGCACAAGGCCUUUGCUUUGAUCCCCCAGGACCAUAAAAAUCAGAGCAAAAACACAACAAGACUUCAGAAAGUAACAGAAGCACACUAUGAACAGCUCUGUGUACAUAAAUUCAACAAUUUAAAUGAAAUGGACCGAUUUCUUAAAAGUUACAGACUGUCAAAAUUAAAUAAAAAAGAAAUAGACUAUCUAAAUAGCCCUCUAUCUAUUUCAGAAGUUGAAUUUAUAGUUUUCAAGGUUAUAAGAAGGUUAUAGAAAACCUUCUUUAAAAAAGCCACACUCUAAAUGCUGAUGGUUUUACUGGUGAUUUGGCUAAAUACGGAAAGGAAAACUAACAGCAGUUUUUCACAAAUUCUUCUAGAAAAUAGAAAACAAGAGAAUACUUCCAAGCUCAUUGGAGGAGGCCAAUCCUCCUCUCACAUCAAAACCAAACUAAGGCAAGUACUAGAAAAAGUAAAGCACAGACCAAGGUCCUCGUGUAUAUGGACCCCAAACCCUCACCAAAAUAGUAGCAAAUUGAAUGCAGCACUAUAUAAAAAAGAUAAUACAUUCAGUCCCGUGGAUGCUCUGCCGAGAGGGCAGACAAGAACCCAGAAAGCGUCUGCAAGGUGGCCGCACAGCCUGGAGAGCCCAUGGCGUAGGUAAGAAACAAGCCGGCUCCUGGAGAACUUUCUUUUGGAUGGAGGCUCAGUGAUUUUGUUUUAUACUGACUUUAAGCUAAUUAAGUGAGACUUACUCACAGGAUAAAGGGCAGACUGCUGGGCCCAAAGUUCACUGAUUUAAAUGUUAAUCUCAUCCCGAAACACCCUCCAAGUUGACAAGUAAAAUUAACUGUCACGAGUUCACUCCUUGUCAUCUUGGCAACCAUGUGCUUUGCCUCAGGAAAUGCUCAUCCUGGGCACAACUGACACCUUCCCAGAAGAGGAUGCAGCGUCCCUGGAUGACGUCCACUCCUCCUUGACAACCCAUAACCUAGAUGCUGGGACGGAAAGUAGGUGGUAUUUUAGAACGAUGCUACUGAGUCAGUGGAUCUCCUGUCACAUGAUGGGGAGGGAAGAAAGUUUCUGUAACGGUUACAGCUGACACUGUCACCUCCAUCUUCCACUUCUGCCUUCAACAAAUAACUCAGUUUUACCUGAUAGGUUGACCCAUAUCUUCAUUUAAGUCUAUGCCAGUGGUGCAAAUCAUUUAGCAUUUCCAUUGAUAGCAAAUAGCCAGCUAUAGCACGCAUGUCAGAGGUUCGCCAUCACUGGUCUAUGCCAGUGUUAGUCUUGCCUGGACUGGGUUAUUCUACUUUUCCAUUGACUCGAAUCAUAAUCUUGGUAAUACUAAAGGAUGCUCUUGAGAAUCUCUUAUAUUUUGGAUAUAUCUUUCCUUACCUCUAUGGGACAGUAGUAAUCUACUGUAGUAGUCCACAGUAGAGUAGCUCUUUGGUAGUCUGGUGUUAGCAUUUUGUCGCUAUGACAAAAUACCUGAGAAUAACAAUUGAAAGAAAGAAAGAAAGAAAGGUUUAUUUUGGGUUAUAGUUUCAGUCCAUGGUCAGCGGUCUCCAUUGUUAUUAGGUCUAUAGUGAGACAGAAACGUUCUGCAGGAUGAUGUGACAGAGGAAUGCCACUCACCUCAUGACAGUCAGAAAACAGAGAAAAGGAAAGAUCUAUAGAGGAGGGGGCUAGAAGCAAGACACCGCCUUCACAGGAACGCCCCAGCUGACCUGUGUUCUCCAGCUGGGCCCCGCCACCCAGCAGCCCAUUUGGCUAUGGACUCAACAGUCCACUGAUGAGCUUUGCACCCUUACAAUCCUGUCACCUCCCGAGGUCCAACCUCUGUACGUGGCUGCAUUGGGGGUCAAGCCCUCAAUACCUGAGUCUUUGGAGAACACUUUAUAGUAAAUCAUGACAUCCAGAAAGGCCCCCCGACACCAGUCAUUCUUGUCUUUGAUUCUUGGUUCAAAAGCAUACACGAUCCAAAAUAGUCAGUUGGCAACUUUAAAAGCCAGUUCCAUGGGGUCAGGGCUGUGUCUCUCGCUAGGAGCACUCAUCCAUUUGGAACUAGGCUCUCCAGGUCAGGUCAGUUUAAGGUGAAGAAAGCAUAAAGCGAGAAUUCUGUGAGAGGAUGAUUAGUGUCUUUCUCAUUUACGCCCUUGACUCCUGGGCCCGUGAGUCCUGGCUAUGGGCAAAUAUACUAUACAUUAGACGCCAAUUAGAGUAUACGCAGCCCGAUAGAGAAUUUUGCACCAGCUCUGUCAGGGGAUGUCCCCUAGGUUAGCAGUGUAACUGAGUUUUCAAAAGUCCAUUUCACCCUUCUGGCAAACCAGCUGCUUCAGGGUAGUGAAAAACUUGGCAAUGCCAAUGAUUUCUGUCAUCAUAGGCCCACUGUAACAAUUCAUUGGUGUGAAGUGAAUCCUUUGAACAGGUGCUGUACUGUGUGGGACACCAUGACGGUGCACACAGCACUCUGGAAGCCCACGGAUGGUAACUUUGGCUGAAGUAGUAUGUGUAGGGAAGACACUGUAUUCAUAAUGUCUAUUCCAGUAAGAACAAAAGGCCUCUCCUUUCAUGAUGGAAAUUGUUUAACGUACUCAACCUGCUACCAGGUAGCUGGCUGAUUACCCCAGAGGAUGGUGCCAUAUUGGGAACUGUCUUGGGGGCAUUCCCUAAGUUUCCCUAGGCGAUGCAACAUUCAUCUCUUCUGACUGUGAGGGAGACAUUUCUUGUGCUGGGGGCAGUCUACUUCUACUAACAAAAUAUUGCUUCAGAAUUUAGGGGUUGUUAUGGAUUAAACUCUGAUGGUCAACUUAAUGAACUUAAUGCCAGCUGAAUUAAGUCAGCAUGAUGCUGAGCAUAGAUGUCCUACCUGAAGAAAGUUGCCAGCAUAAAUUAAGACUUGGAGAAGACGAGUGAGGCGUUGUGGGUUCUCCUACAUGUUGCUGUUUGAGCCGUUGGUUCUUCUGGAGAAGCUCAGGUCUUUACAUCAAGCACUGCCUCCUGGCUCCAGAGGGGAAGACGUGUGCCGCUUAAUCUCCAGGAUGAACUCAUCACGCUGGCUUCCUGGCAUGUGCCCGACUGUGCUUAUCAUCGGAGGAACUCGAGACCUCCAUGUCACUGAGGAAGGCUGUGGUGCUUUUCAGGAUAGCCCUGGUCUUUGUUUUGGGCAUAACUUCUCCACUCCAGCGUAGAGCCCUCCAUCUACCAGCACAGCUCCUUCACCCCGCUGGCAUAGGCUUUCUAGCUUCCACUGCUGACCUUCGGCCCUUCCAAGCACACAUCCAUAGAGAGACUGGCAUCCUUCUCGUGGGUGCUAGAUUGCCUUUUUGGACUCAUGGGAGGCACUGUCAAUGGGCUCUAUAUUCUCAUCUGGACUCAUGUGGGACAUUGCUGUGGGAUUCAGGCCCUGGGCUAAAUAUCCUGUCUUUAAUGUUGUAGAUAGAUUUUCUGCACUUUGUGUUAACUCUGGGUGACCAUCAUAAAAUAAUAAUAUAAAUUCCA